rnacentral:tRNA from 1 species
AACCUUGUAGUGAAGUUCACGACAGAUUGCAAAUCUGUAAAUACACUUUAGUUAGUGUUUUGGUUU